GCAGGAGAGCCCCAGGUCCUCCACCUUCCCGGCGGCCCCUUCUUUGAGUGUGAGGUAAUGGGAGAGGAAUGUGCACACCGACCUCCCAUCGGCCCCAUGAAAACCAUAGACAGAGCGAGGACAGUUUCUCCAAAAAGAACCAUAGAUGACAGGAACUUCCACCGGCCGUUAAAAAGGUCACGUGAGGAGCCCUGGCGACUAUAGAGAACGAAGGGAAAUGGGAGAGGCCCGUCCUUUUAACGGAUAACGAGAGUUGAUUGCGUAUGUUAGGCUUUUUCUUUGGAAUUUCCUCAAAAGCCUGUUUUGUCGGUCCACCGGUUAAGAGCUGGCAGCCUCAGGAUGAUCAGGACAAGUUUGCUACGUCUUUAACAACAGCAUGUAGGCGAAGAAAACAGGUCGUGAAAACUACUUCGGGAUAACCGUUCAAUGUUUAGAAGCCCUGGCCUCUUUUGCGCUCGUCUAGCUAACGAUGGGGAUUUUUUUUUUUUUAAAUUCUAGUAUGGCAAUUCAAAAACGCUCUGUUCUAUCGAUCAAAGGUUUUUUUCCCCCUUUUUAAAAUUCUAUCACACAAACUAGAAAUGCAUUACUUUUCAGCCCAAAGUCUCACCACUUCAAGUGCACUCUUUAAAAAAAAAAAGGAAACCGAACUACCGAUUUAGAAGCUCCGGCUAGGCUAUAUGUCUUUCUUUGCAUAUAGCCAAUUUUUCAUGGGAAUGAAGAUUGACUGCGGUUAAUAGCAUUAUGCACACCUCAGUGGGAUUUUUUUUCCCAAACGUGCAGCAAUAUGCCUUUUAGACUUCUUCUGAAAUUUUACAACAUAUACAUUGCAGAUAAUUAAAUCAGCUAUUUUCACGAAGAUGCUGACAAUACUACAUAUUUUUACUGAGAUGUACAUUCAGCUGAACUCAUAGAAACUUCCUUUAAAGACAGCUUGCAACUCUGCUCCUGGGAGUAUGGAUUUUGGGACAAACUGAGGUUUCUGGGGACAAUCCACAGGUCAGUCAGUCAGUCAGUCAUUUCCCUUCCUCUUCCAUGUAAAUUGCUCCUUUAGGGACUGCUUUUUGUCUCAGCAGCAUUUCAUCCUCCUUUGCAGCCUGUCUACCUGACUAAACAUAUGACAAUGGGAAGGAUAUAAAUUCAUUUCCUUUCAAUAUGCACAGAGUCUAGUAGGCUUCUCUCCAAAUAAUUUGCUGUAUCCUUAAUCUUGGCCCUAAAGCUCAAGGCUGGAAUGUGGCUAAACCUGCAAGUUGACCUGCAGGAUUAAAGCUUGUAGUGGACCUGAUACCCCCCCCCCCCCCCAAAAAAAAAAAAAAAAAAGGGAAUACUGGCCAGGAGAAGGAGAACUGGGCACCUAGUUUAGGUUAGAUUGGGAAAUGUUCCAGCAGGUUCAUCUACAGGCCUGACUAGUGGACAGAAUCUGUUGUCUCAGUGGGGUUUCAAAGUUCCCCUUCCAUUUUUGAAAUGGGCAUAUAUUAUCUACCACCUAGAAGGUCGGGACAGCAUGGCUAAAAGUUGUUUUUUUCAUGAAUGGCAUAGAAAUCCUUCCUUUUCCCCCAGCAGAAUUGAAUCAUCUGCAACUGGCUUGCCCUUUGGCAAGAGUAGUGCAAUUUUACAAGAAGGGGAUAUGUCUGUGCAUUAGGCUUGCGCUCAGGCCCAAAACUCUACAAAAAGUUGAUCUUGCUCUGGGAUAAAAUUCUCAUAGAUGCUUCUGUUGGCAAGUCCUUCCAAACUGUGACUUCACCUCAGAUUUGCUAAUGGUACCUGUGGGGAUGAUGAGUACCAUUGUAUUAUGUUAGAAAAAUAGAGCAAAGAAUUCCCAGAUUGACUGCUAGUGAAUACAUGGCUAUGUCUUUUCUGUUUUCUUGAUAUCAGUAUGGGUGUGAUUUGCGAUUGUGAUCAUCCCAGUACUUAUUAGAUCUGAUCCUCUUUAAUAAUACAAUUAUUACUAUUUUUAUUAGAUUUAUAAGGCUAUCCAAAUACAAAGGACUGUAAGUUACUAACAACACGGUCCCUUACAUCUUUUUUAGAAAUAAACCACUUGAAUUCAUUGAGUCACUUGUGAGCAAAUAUAGAACAAGCCUUAAAAAGUCUGAUUUUAUGUAUAAAAUUCUACUGAAUCUUAUAGAAUAUUGCUUCUAAGUACAUAGAAUUGCACUGUCACAUAGAAAAAAAUUAUUCUGAACCCAGUGGUAUUUGUUUGCAGACCAGAAUCUUAGUACCUUUGCAGAAUUAUUUGAAUUUAAGUAAUUUUUGAUAUUAUUAUUAGAAUUAGGGAGUUAUGGGAACACAAAUUCUUAGUUUUUCCUUUUUCUUUUACAUAAAAAUUGUGAAAUCAAAUGUAAUUUUUGAUUUCAUAUAAAAAAGAUGUCAAGGAACCCUUGAUGCUGCCCUAGAAUAUAAGAAUUCUUGAGCUGUAGAGAUGGGCAGCAUGCUAUAGAAUCCAUCAGGUUUAUUGUAUGUUGAGCUGAGAGCAUAUAAAAAGGGUAUUUAUUGCUGUUCAUUGUUAAUUGAGGAAGCUUGUACAUUAGAGGAAAUCCUCAGUUUAAGGUUCUUGUUCUAUAAUUGUCCUUUUAGAGCUAAUGGGUUGAUCUGAAAAUGUGGCUUCGGGAUUUUAUUAUAUGUUUGCAUGGUCUUUUCUACAUUAAUUCAAAUAGCCUGUAUUUUAAAAUAGCUCUUUAAAUAUUUGCACAGAAAUAAAUGCAUACAUAAGCUGUACCUCAACUUUUAACUGUCACAACUGCUACACAAACUCUCACACAAGUACAAGCAAAAAGCCUUAUACCAGAGCAGUCUGUUACAAAGAAAAUACCCAUCUUGUGCAAAAGAGUGGUACUUAAACUUUACACAUGCAGGCCGGAAAUAAGAGGCGCAAGAAUUUGAACUUUUAUCCCAUUAGAGUUCGCAUUUGUUAUAGAGAAGUCAUUGCAAUUUUUGUGGCAUGGCAUCUUUGUUAAUUUUGCUACAAUAAAUCUACCACAUACUUGGGGUCCUUGUAAAUCUAUUCUUUAAGUUGCUUUCCUAGCUGAACUGGCAAUAGUGCAAUUGUUUUGUAAGUAGAACACUAGAAUUGUGUAACAGAAUAAUGUAGCACUUAAAUUGUUCCAUUUCAAAAGUCUUCGUUGGCUUUUUAGUGUUGGAUCUGCAACAGUAAAAUGAGGGCAGGCAUAUUAUUGGUAAUAGGGAGUCAUAUUUAAUAUUAACAUUUAACAUAUUGAACAACAGCAUGUUCCAUAGCAGAUAGGGUUGUCUUAGAGAAUUUUCUGUUUUAUGAGCUUUAUAGAGGGGGAAGGUUUUAAAUGUCAAAGUGCAACAAAAUUUUUAUGAUAGGAAUCUACAGAGUGCUGUCAAUGUUUGGACCUAAAAUUGCAGAAGUUUCCAGAGCCAUAAAGAUAUUGUGGCAUCACUGAUCUGUGGGACUUGCUAAUCUUUUCAAUAGAAGUUGACAUGGUUUUAUUAUCCAAAUAAACAUUUUUCAUAUGUCCAUUUUGA